CCUGCAGCGGCGCACAUUUUAGCUUUUCAGUUUCCCGGUGGCGCUCACAGUAAUUGAGUCGAGAGAGUUAUUUUUCCUGGCCUCACCUCACGGUCCUGAGACUGCAGGGAGCUUUCGAAAAGACAUCGCCUCCUACCCCCGACGCCCCGGCAGCUUCUGAGCGCCGCCCAGGCCUCCGCCCGGCGGGAAACAAAAUUGUGAUUCUCAUUCUCGCGGCCCCGGCCAGAGGCUGAGGCCGGAGGGUGAAACCACCAGGGGUCCCAACGGAGGGUUUAUUCCCGCCCUGCUUCACGUUUGGGUCAAAUCGCAUUAACACCAAACCACCAACGGGGCGGGAGCAGGUGGUUAAUUGCAUAAAAUAGAGUUAACUGCAAGAGACUACAGGAGGGUAACUUGGUUUCCCUCUGUAGCUUUGUCAUCACCAAAAGAAGUUCCCUCCCUCCACUCAGUUGGAAGGCGGGGAAAGGUUAUCAGCUGCUCCAGAAGAAGGCUUGUGCCCUCUGUCAGUUUAGAGCCAGCGGCAGGCAGGGGCGGUGGGCACGCGGGCUCCCAUCCGCGCGGCUAUUGGAAGCAGGUUUCCCUCACCCCUGCCAGGAAGCCAACCACAGCGCUUCUCAACUCGCCCAAUACGCGUUUCUGGAGUCCUCUGAACAGCUGGCGGGAACGUUUAGCACGCGGGACUGGACAUUCGCUUUCGCUUGUUUUUCCAACCAGCAGAAGCAGGUGCGAGAAAGUCCGGAGCUUGGGAGGUGGGAGGCAGAGGAAAGAAAAUCCACUUUGUGCUAGUUUAGAGGACAGCAACCGCUCCUUAACGUAUUACACGAACGCUGCAAACCUGAGUGCAAAAGCACCAUUGCCCAAAACUUAACAAAAAACUCUGAACAGAAAAUACCCGCCCGAAGUAAUUUCUGCUCUCGCCGAACUACCCGGGCUGUGUUACAUUUGCACCAUAACACGUGGCAAGUUUCCGAGAUCUCUCAAGAGGGAGGGUCAGAGGGACAAGAACACUAAGAGGAGACCUGAAGGGGCGAUGUCUCCGAUUCUGAGAGAGCAAUUUUCUCGCUCAGAAGUGAAAAGACCCUAACUUUUCCCCACCACUUCUUUAGACAAUCCGAAGUCAACCGAUUGUAUUGAAAUCUAAAGUCUGGAGCACCAACGGCCCGGCUGACGUCUACUGCUGAAGCUGGGGGAUGGGGUG
rnacentral:lncRNA from 1 species